CUUCUUCGACUUGUUGAGGACAGAUGUAGUGCACAUGUGCGUCAAUAGCUCCGGCAGUAAUGAUGAGUUUUUCCCCAGCGAUGACUUCGGUGGAGGAACCGAUGAUUAAAGAUGGAUGGACGUUGGCCAUCACGUCGGGGUUCCCGGCUUUUCCGAUACCAACAAUGAGUCCGUCUUUGACGCCGAUGUCGGCCUAGAGGGGAGCGAUGUGAGUGGAGAAAUGAACGAAACAAAAGAUAAAGGAAACCUUGUAGAUCCCGGACCAGUCAACAAUGAGAGCAUUUGUAAUGACCAAAUCAAGAGAUUCGGCGGAGGAUCGGUUGGUGGCUUGACCCAUACCCUCCCGGAU
rnacentral:sRNA from 1 species